CCUUGGGCUAGGUAGGCCAGCCGAAAAGGGUAUUCCGCGCCCCUGCCCAAGGUUUUCAUGCGGGG
rnacentral:ncRNA from 1 species